UCAAAUAUGUUUUCUUUGUAGCAUAUUCAACUGAAUAUGGGUUGAAAACGAUUUGAAAAUCAUUGUAUUCCGUUUAUAUUUACAUCUAACACAAUUUCCCAACUCAUAUGGAAACAGGGUUUGUACAUAAUCAUUUUCAAGGUGACAUCACAUUAUUUUGAAACACUAACUUGGCAGGGAAACGUUUGUGUUUGUGCAUCUGCCGUGUAUCCGCAUGUGUGACAUCAGAUUGUCAUGCCGAGAGAACGUUCUGGCACAAAAGGAACAAGAGAAAGGUUUUUCCCCUGUGUGUGUUCUCAUGUGGGACCUCAUGUUCGACUUCUGAGAGAAUCUUCUAUCGCAAACUGAACAACUAAAAGGUUUCUCCCCAGUGUGGGUUCUUUGAUGUCCAAUCAAAGAGACGUUUGUGAUGAACAUUUUGCCACAUGUCAAGCAACUGAAAGGUUUUUGUCCCGUGUGAGUCCACAUGUGGGAUUCCAUGCGUACUUUUCUGGAGAACUCUUUACUACAGACGGCGCAAGUAAAAGGUGUUUUUUCGUCGUGCGUGCGCAAGUGUGCUCUCAAAUUGCUGUGUCGGGUAAAUGUAUUUGCGCACACCGAACAGGAAUAUGGUGUUUCACCUGCGUGCGUCUUCCUGUGUUGAGCAAAAUCACUCUUAAAAGAAAAGCUUUUAUCGCAAACUGAGCAGGUCCAACGUGGUCUACCCGUCCUCCUUUCAGAGUGUUUGUUAUCACCUUCACAGUCUGUAUCUCUGCUCAAAGUUUCUUGGAUGUCGUCGCUGUCUUCAUCCUCAGCAGAGUGAGACGUCACGUCGUCACUAUCUGAUAGUGGAGCUAUGAGGUUGUCUGCUUGUGAUCCUCCAUCAGCUUCUGAUGUCAUGUGUUGUAGUGAGCUGCUACUCGGAGGUUCCGCCCCUCUGUUCUCCUCACUUGGACUGUGACGGAGCUGUGAGGAUUCGUCUUCAUCAUCUUCAGUUUUUACAGAGACAACGAUCAGUGGCAACUUGUGGUCUCCAUCAGCUUCUGCCGUCAUGUGUUGUGUUGCGCUGCUGCCUGGAAGUUCCCCCUCUUUGUUCUCCUCACCUGGACUGUGAUGAAGCUGUGAGGAUUCAGGUGGUUUGUCUUCACCAUCUUCAGUCUUUACAGAGACAACGUACAGUUGCAACUUGGUGAGGGCAGCCUCCUCCAGCGCGAGAAGACACUUUUCCUCCUGAGGGAUCCAGAAUUCCUCCUCUUCCACUUUAAUGUGGGGGGGCUGUGUAUCCUCCUGUUCCAAAGUGGCACUCCCUGCCUGUAGCUGAAGGGGACGCAGGAUGUCUGCAGGACACAAGAGAAAAUACAUUUUCCAGUGACUAAAAUGACAAUGUCCCUCUUGUUGUCUCACUAUAUUGCGUCUGUUCACAUUUUAUAUGGUGUUUUUUUUAAUACAUUUAUUUGUAAUUGGUGCUGUCAAUGUUUUCUUUUUUUUUAUCAGAAUAAUGUCACUUUUGAAUUUUGAUUAGUCAUGAUUGAUCACAGGUUAUUACUGGCUUGUAUUGUUUGUAUUAACGUCAAAAAACUAUAAUAAUUGGACACAAAUGCAAUUUUUGUGUUAGAAUGUCAUAAAGGAGCAUUCAGUUUAGUUUAGUUUAUUAUUUCUUCGGUCAGUGGUAAACAAAAUAAACAAGGAGCUAUACAUAAACAAACAGUUGCACAUUCAUAAAUUGAAAAUGUUGCAGACCGAAAGAGUUUAGGCUGAAGUUGAACACUUUUUGCGCUUAACCCUAUAAACAAUGUCAAAUACAAGAUGAGCUUCCAAAAAAUAUAACAUUUCCUUUGCACAACAUAUUGUAAAUACACCUUAUACACAACAUAAACACUAUUCAAUUAUAUAGAAUAGAGUAGAAUCAAAUAGAACAGAAAGUACAUUAUUCAUCUCUGGUGGAAAUUCAGCACCACAGUUCGCUCACAAUAAACAAUAAUAAUAAUAAAUAAUAUAUGACAUACAUUAUAUAUAUAAUAUAUAAUACACAGUAAACACAUGUGAAAUAUCCUUGUACACGUCUUAGUUAAACCUUUGUAAUGAUUAUGUACUAUAUACAAACAAUUAUACUUCCAUUAUUAUUUAUAUCCCACAUUUAGUUUGUAAUUAACAAUAAUCAUAGUAUUAACUACUGUGAUGAUUCAAGACUAGGGGUAUAACGGUAUGUGUAUUUGUAUUGAACCGUUUCGGUAUGGGGGUUUUGGUUCGGUUCGGAGGUGUACUGAACGAGUACACAUGCUAGCAGCGACCGGGCUAAGACAACAUUUAAAAGCCAGAGCUGGAAGUCCCUUCUGCCUCGUUAAGAUCCCCCGUUUCGGAACACUUUGGCUGUGCGAUACAACAAUGGAGGACGGAGGUUUGCCGAUAUUGUUCAGCAGCUGCUUCUGACAACACGUCAAACAUGUGUUGCACCUUUCCUGCUUCCGGCUCCCAGACCAUAGUCGAGGAGCGCAGGGGAGACACUCCUCCAGGGCUGAUGUAUUUUCGGGGGCAACACCCUACACUCUACCCGGCAGUGGGUCUCCACAGCUCCGGACUCCAGGGUAAUUGAAGAGUUUGGCGAUUAGUUGCAAAUCGUGGCUUUAUUGAGGUCUUGCACACAGCCAAUCCAACAAAACACUAGCCACUCCCGCACUCUACCACUCCCUCAACUCGCUCGCCCACACACUCACUUCACAUGCUGUCCCAUAUUAAAAGGGCCACAUAAACACAUACGCUACUCUCAUAACACAUGCUAACCCAUUUGAAGCGUCACCACCGCAUUCAAGCAGCCUCUCCUCGGCGAGUCAGGCAGGGCCGAAGCAAUAACAAAUGUUUUUAUAGCAGCAUAUUUGAGUCCAUAAUGCAUAAAAAACUAUAUUUUGACCCACUUCUAUUGUGGAACAACAAUGAGCCCAUAUAUCCUCUUACUGCCAAAUUAGCCAGGCUGGGAGAGAAAAGAAAAGUUAAUCUGAGGCUGAGUUGACCUGAAACUGUUUAAUGUUGGACUUUUUAUAUGUAGAAGAAAAGUUUUGUCAUUUUAUUUAAUCUGAGCAACAACUUGAGGCGGUUUAAUGUUGAUUAACGUGGACCCCGACUUAAACAAGUUGAAAUACUUAUUGGGGUGAUACCAUUUAGUGGUCAAUUGUAUGGAAUAUGUACUGUACUGUGCAAUCUACUAAUACAAGUCUCAAUCAAUCAAUCAAAAAAAGCACUUUAUAUGUCGAAAGGUUUUGUUAGGAAACCAUUCCGAGCCUUAUCUUAUUUAGUUUUUAUUUUAUAUAUGUUGACCACAUUAACCCUGGCAAUGGACCCUGUGUGUAUAUGUAUGUUAUGCCAUUGUUAACACAUUUGGUAAAUAAAUAACCAAAACAUUUA